AUACGAGGGGAGCAAGCGUUAUUCGGAAUUAUUGGGCGUAAAGAGCGCGUAGGCGGCCAGUUAAGUCAGAUGUGAAAUCCCGGGGCUCAACCCCGGACGUGCAUUUGAAACUAAUUGGCUUGAGUAUGGGAGAGGGAAGUGGAAUUCCUGGUGUAGAGGUGAAAUUCGUAGAUAUCAGGAGGAACACCGGUGGCGAAGGCGACUUCCUGGACCAAUACUGACGCUGAGGCGCGAAGGCGUGUGGAGCAAACAGGAUUAGAUACCCUGGUAGUCCACGCAGUAAACGGUGAUCACUAGGUGUAGCUGGUAUUGACCCCUGCUGUGCCGGAGUUAACGCAUUAAGUGAUCCGCCUGGGGAGUACGGUCGCAAGAUUAAA
rnacentral:rRNA from 1 species